AUACGGAGGAUGCGAGCGUUAUCCGGAUUUAUUGGGUUUAAAGGGUGCGUAGGCGGUCGGGUAAGCGUAGGGUGAAAGUCCUCUGCUCAACAGAGGAAGUGCCUUCCGAACUGUCCGACUGGAAUGCUCCUGCCGUGGGAGGGAUGUGUGGUGUAGCGGUGAAAUGCAUAGAGAUCACACAGAACACCGAUUGCGAAGGCAUCUCACGAAGGGGCUAUUGACGCUGAGGCACGAAAGCGUGGGGAUCAAACAGGAUUAGAUACCCUGGUAGUCCACGCAGUAAACGAUGAUGACUAACCGUCGGUCAAGACUGAUCGGUGGCCAAGCGAAAGCGAUAAGUCAUCCACCUGGGGAGUACGACCGCAAGGUUGAAACUCAAAUGAAUUGACGGGG
rnacentral:rRNA from 1 species